UUACUUUGGUUGCCUCUUUAAAGCUAAGUGGGAGUCUUUACUGUACUCUGAAAUGAUACAUCAUGUAUAUCCUUAUUGUAACCUAGAGCUUGGAACAGGAAGUGCUCUCAUAAAGGCAAAAUGUCUUUUUGGCAUCCUGGCGCUGGGUCUCUCUGUCUUCAAUAGACUAACCUGGAGACAGGUCGUCUUACAUUGGAACAUGCUAGAAAACAAGACAUGUUUCAAGCAUAUCCGCAUUCCCUGUUGUGUUGGUUUUUUUUCCUUCUAAAAACCAAAAUCAAAAUCCUGUAUGAAAAGGGCAAAGACAAAGCACUCAGAGGUAGUCAGUCUCCAAACUGUGGUCUGUGGGAGGCCCAGAUGCAUUUUUCUAUCACUACCCAGUGCCUUUUUGUAAUGGGUAUUCAGCAAGCAUUGGUUAGGCUGAUUAGUAAGUAUUUAUUAAACAACUAUUUACUGAACAAGCACGUAGGCCAGUGUAUUAGGCCAGCUGAGUUUACAACACAAUAUGCUAAUCACUGCAUUGAUGUGCUUAUUGAUGAGGACAUCACCCCAACCUGAUGUAAUACAGCCUGCAGCGAGUCACAACAUACACUAAGGCAUCUCAGGAGUCUGUUUAGACUUAGAGCAAUUGGCCUGGACAUUCCCACCAUUACCCACCACAUUUCCACCUUGCUAUUGAAUCCUUCUAUCAAUUAAUAACUGCAAAGUCAUCCCAUAUUUUUAAGGCUCAGACAGACUGAGCUCUUCUUCCUGUGUCAGAGUUGGUUCCAUGAGCAAAAACCCAGUCCUGUAGCCUUCCUUGUCACCCACCUGCCCUGUAUUCCCUGUCAUUGUGGGAGCAAUGUUGACACUGGGGGGGGGGGGGCAGGCUGUACCCAAAGCUAGACAAAACAUAGACAACUAGGAACCACUGAAGAAGCUGUACAGUAGCCUUCAGCACCAAAUCCCAAUCAGUGCCCUGCUCUUUGUACCCACGCAGUCAACGAUUUGGUCAAGUAUUUGAGUUUUAGUCAUCCUAGUAUCCUGUUGGCCCAGAUGUCCAGAGUCUCAGAACCCUUGGAUGUGGUUGUGCUGCAGCUCUUGCAGAUGGGGCCGGCACACAGGACCAGGUCCCUUCGGCAGCGGCAGCGCAGUUUCCAGGGCCAAUCACCAGGUGUUUCUCCUCAGGCCUGGUUCUCAUCCCCUCCUUCCCAUCUAUCAUUCCUCGGUUUCCAAGCUCAUUUCCUCACUUGGAGCUUUGUAAUCUGUUCUUCUGCUAGGAUCUGGAAACUUUAUUAAAAGCUGACUGGUGGUGAGAAAUGUUUGCUGGUAAAGUUCUCAUGUGGCAGCCUCUCCUCCCCCUCCCCGCCCCUCGCAUCCGUCGUGGGCUUCCACAGAUCUGCUCUGCACUGAGGAGUGCAGAGUGCACUGAGUGACAGAAGGCUCUUGAAGGCCAAGCUUUCUCCAUGAGCUCCUCCUGGGGUCAGGGCUUCUACUUUAAGGGCCAUGUAUUUUUAUAAAUGCAUUUAUGAAAGACAAAGGGCCACCUGAAAAUGUGCAUUCAGACCUGGAGGGCACCGCAAGUCACCCUGAACAUCUGCUCUUGUGAGCAGCACCUUAGGCCCCGGUGGACUCCUUUCCUGUUGCCCGUUUUGAGACCUGAGGUCCACUGCAGUCUCCCCUGAGUGCAGAAAGGCCCUCUGAUCACCCUGCAGUCACAGGACACCUCUUUGGAGGAUUAGUAGGAGCUGCGCUGCAGAGACACAUUAGGUAAGAAAAGACAAAUGACUUGAUGCCCAGACAUGUGCAGAGGAUAUGGAGGUGCCCACUUCCUGACAGGAGAGCACUCCCAAUUGCUCUGUAGCUUCCGUGUUUGGUGACUUUGUCUGCCCGAGCUGGCUUUGAAACUCAUUCUUCCAGAUCUCAGCCUCCUGAGUAGCUAGGAAUACAAUGGUACACAUUGGAGCCUGGCUCUAAUUAAUUAAUCUGUUUAUAUUUCAUUUGUUGAAUCUAUUCCAGAGGAAUAAAAUGGAGAUAAAAACAAAAUUGUGUCAUUAUUCAGAUUCUUGUUCUCAUGAUUAUAAGUGGUUUUAAAAAAAAUUUUAAAUAGCAUCGUAUAUAUUUUUAAAAAGUUUGCUAAUUUCCAGGAAAGGUACUUUGUUUAAAAGCCCUUCUUAUUGAUAAACUGAAAACUAUGAAAUGUCGAGCCAUUUAAAGUAAUAGAUGAUUUAUGCAAAUAUAUUGGAAGUAUUUCAGUAGAUUCUCAAUAGUUUCUAAUGUCUACCAAUCAUUUGUUUCUCUCCCCACAAGUGGACCCUAACUACCUCCCACCCAGGGCAGGACUGACUGGCCAAGAGGCCCCCUCCCCAAGCAGUAGUGAAGGAGUUCAACCUGGGAAAUGCGGUCAUAGAAGACACUGCAGCUUUCCGCCUGCUCUGGGGAGCCAGCCGCCAGCCC